rnacentral:Y_RNA from 1 species
GGCUGGUCCGAGUGCAGUGGCGUCUUACAACUAAUUGAUCACAGCCAGUUACAGAUUUCUUUGUUCCUUCUCCACUCCCACUGCUUCACUUGACUAGCCUUUU